GGAGAGGUAGCCUAAUUGGUAAGGCAGUAGUCUUGAAAACUACCGCGCGACGAGCGCUUGCAGGUUCGAGUCCUGUCCUCUCCGCCA
rnacentral:tRNA from 1 species